AACAACACUGUGCCACUGGUUCCUUCUUUGUAGGAGCUCCAAAGAGGGACCCACUGAGCAGGUGCCAUGAAGCUGCUCUACCUUUUCGUCCUGGUCAUCUUCUUCCUCUCUCAGGUCAUACAAGGCGAUGAAUACAACAAAGCUGGUUACUGUGACUCACAAACAAGUGUGUGCCUGAGGAGAAAGAGAAACUGUCAUUUUCCAAUGCCAGGCAUUUGCCCUGGAAGGAGCUUCUGUUGUUUAAGAAUACAGUAGAUGGAGAAAUUCAUGCUUGAUUAUCUAUGCAUGCUUUUCUGGAAAGCUGUGACCUCAUUAUAUCAUUUAUUCAUG